rnacentral:rRNA from 1 species
AGCUCCUAUAGUGUAUACUAAAGUUGCUGCAGUUAAAAAGCUCGUAGUUGGAUUUCGGUUAAUGUGGAAGUGGUCUACAUUUUUAUAUGUACGCACCGCUAACGUGUUUCCUUCUUUCGGCAUAUAUCAUUUUUAAUGGUGUUGUCGAUCUUUUACUUUGAAAAAAUUAGAGUGUUCAAAGCAGGCGUAACAAAGCCUUUGAAUAUAUUAGCAUGGGAUAAUGAAAUAAGACUUUUAGGUUUAUUUUCGUUGGUUCUUUUUUAGGCCUUAGGUAAUGAUUAAUAGGGAUAGUUGGGGUCAUUAGUAUUUAGAUGUCAGAGGUGAAAUUCUAAGAUUUUCUAAAGACUAACUACUGCGAAAGCAUUUGACAAGGAUGUUUUCAUUAAUCAAGAACGAAAGU